CAAGUGUUACCCCUUACGGUUUUUUUCAUGACGACCAAAGAAAAAAGACAGUGUCACCCCUCGUGUUUCAUUUCAUAAAAACGACAGUGUUACCCCCUAUUUACUAAUUGAUAAAUAUCGACAGUGUUACCCCUUUUUUUUUUUUUCAUGACGACCAAUAAAAAAUGACAGUGUUACCCCUUAUGUUUUUUUUCAUGACGACCAAAGAAAAACGACAGUUACCCCUCAUGUUUUUUCCAUGUUGACCAAUAAAAAACGACAGUUUUUUUAUUGGUCAAAGUCGUGGUAAAAGUCGUGCCGUGGUUUAUUUACUUUUCGCUAAAUUCAAAUAUAAUAAUACUGCGCCCUUUUUGAAAAAUGAGCUGCACUUCGUUCAUGGAAGUGAGAGUUAACCAGUUCAUAAUAAUUAUUAAUAUAUUGAGUAAAAUUCAUGUUAAAGCCGUGCUGUGGUUUAUUUAGUGUCAUCCGUAAUCACCAACACGAUUUAGCAAAACUGUCAUGCGUUUUUUAUUGUCUAACUUUUAAGGAAUAAAUCGUUUUUAGAUGUUGAAAAAUUCAUACUUGUAUGCAUAUUUUAUCAUUGUCAAUUCUACUUUAGAAAAACAUGCCAGUCCUCUGAAAAUGGUGGUGCACAGUACUGCUUGAGAACUUCCACCUGGAUGGGCACGGCAGAAGGUUCCCACACUUUAUGGAGGAGGCCAAACAAAUGGCGGCUGGAAUACUUCCCCCAGUCCUCAGACUGAAGCGAAAAAGAGAAGUGAAUCACGUUUCCAGUGACAGAAUACAAAUAAUAUAUUGUAUAGGCUUAACAUUGAUUUGACUGUUUGAUUCUUUUGACAGUGAGUUGGAGCUGAUGGCAGUCAGCAUGAAGAAACUAUAUCUUUAAGCUUCCGUAGAUUAUUUGUUAAAUAAAUUGUGAGGUAACUUU